rnacentral:rRNA from 1 species
CCUACGGGAGGCAGCAGUGGGGAAUAUUGCGCAAUGGGCGAAAGCCUGACGCAGCGACGCCGCGUGAGGGAUGAAGGUCUUCGGAUCGUAAACCUCUGUCAGCAGGGAAGAACGGUCACUGUGCUAAUCAGCAGUGAAUUGACGGUACCUGCAAAGGAAGCACCGGCUAACUCCGUGCCAGCAGCCGCGGUAAUACGGAGGGUUCGAGCGUUAAUCGGAAUUACUGGGCGUAAAGCGCUCGUAGGCGGUAUGUCAAGUCAAGGGUGAAAUCCCCGCGCUCAACGUGGGAACUGCCUUUGAAACGGGCAAACUGGAGUGUGUGAGAGGAUAGUGGAAUUCCAGGUGUAGGAGUGAAAGCCGUAGAUAUCUGGAGGAACAUCAGUGGCGAAGGCGACUAUCUGGCACAUAACUGACGCUGAGGAGCGAAAGCGUGGGUAGCAAACAGGAUUAGAUACCCUAGUAGUC